UAUAGUCCUGGUACUGAGAAUAGAGACCAGGAUAUGUUGUUGGCCUGGGCCCCAAUACUCAGUGUUAUAGUCCUGGUCCUGAGAAUAAAACAGGUUUAAAACAACAACAGAGAAACACGUGUCUUACAGUGCUACACAUCUGUUAUUAUAGAGACCUUUUCCUGCUUAAUUGAAGUAUCAGGUGUAGUUUUUCACCAGUUAUAAAGUGUGUUUGUUGUCUCUCUUUAUGUUUCUAUGGCUGCAGGGAGGGAGAUGCAACAACAGCCCUGAGAACAUCUGGACUCAAAUAGAACUCUGUUCCAAGUUGCUGUCAGGGAGACUCAGUCCAGUUUAUGACAACGUCUCAGGCAUGGCCAUGGCCACUACUGCGGCACAGACAAACAGGGUGAUGCUGACUACGCCAAUGCCCACCUCUCUUGCUCCAAUAACCAGGAUGUGCCUCUGUACUCCACUGUCCAACCUCCUCAACCCCAGAAAGAGGAUGAGGAUGUCCAGUAUGAUGCUGUGAAAUUCAACUGCCCCAGUGCUGCCACCCGGAUAAAUCUAGCCCGUCCCCCUCCACCCUCCAGGAGUCCCCGGGUCAAACGUCUCCCGGGACGGCUUUACUGCUGGGCCUGGUUGACUGCAGGAAAACACCGGGGCAGAGUGGAACUGAGAGA